rnacentral:lncRNA from 1 species
AGCUGGGAAAAAAAAUUGUUAAAGGAUGAGAAAGUGAAUGGUGAAUACCUUACGGAACUGUCCCAAACGCAGAGAUGCUGGUUCUGAGUGUAAAAACGCGCUCUGAAAAGUGGAGAGAGAUGGGAGAACGUCACUUGAUACCUCUCUUAAAACUGUGUUAAGUUCUGUUUAAUGGAUAUUCUGGGAACAGGAUAUAAUUCCUUCCAAAGCUGGGCUGCCCUUGCAGCUGAAACCAAGUUGUAAAACUGGGCUGUAGAAAGCUUAGCAAGGAGACCAAUCACACGGUCAUUUCUGAAGAUCGGUGGGAGGGGCACUUGGAAUGAUUUAAACGCUGGCUGCCGAGGAAACCGACGAUUGGAAAAAUAACAUCUCGGGGCCUUUUUAUAUGGCCCACUGGUAUCGUGAUGCAAUGUGCUUAUUUUCCUGACUCUCUGUUUUUGUCACAGGAAAAGGAAGAAGCGAGGGAAUCAGAGGAGUGAUCAGACGCCUAAUCACCAGUACUUCUCUCAGAUAAAUUAUAAACAGGCAGUUAAAAAGUUCUCUUGCUCCAGCAAAGAAACAAAGCAGCCUUUAAACAUUUUGGAUGUCGACAUGCCCUAAUUUCAAAAGCACCAGAGCUGUGUUUAACCCCAAAGAUAAUCUCUUUCUCCAAGAAAUGAUUAAGCAGUGUGGUUUUUUUUUUGUUGUUUGUUUGUUUUGCUUUUUGCUUUUUAUUGCCGCACUAGUGACCUAUGGAAGUUCUCAGGCUAGGGGACAAAUUGGAGCUACAGCUGACGGCCACAGCCACAGCAACUCAGGAUCUAAGCCGUGUCUGCGACCUACACCACAGCUCAUGUUCAGUGCCAGAUCCCCAACCCACUGAGUGAGGCCAGGGAUCAAACCCGAAUCCUCAUGGCUACCAGUUGGGUUUAAGAACUGCUGAGCCAUAAUGGGAACUCUUAAAAUUUUUUAAAAAGAGAAAGAGAGAGGUGGGAUCCUCAAAACAGGGAUUUGGGUACCCAACGCUGGAGAUGUAAAAGGAGGACCUAGGCCAACAGCAGAGCAGUCAGCUCAGAGUGCGGGAGGAAGGAGGGCUUCCGGAAAGAAGAAAUAGAACUGGUGUGCUUGAGCAUGUGGAAAACGUCAUAGAAAGGCCUUUGGCAGAGAUGUUAAAGCUUUUAGAGAAUACUAAUGACAAGUAACAGCGAGUAAAAUGAAUAAAAAAUGAAGCCAUCAUGAACUUUAGGAAUGCUGGAAGGUGGUACAAGAAUGGAGCUAACUAUUGCUUGCUAGGCUCAGCAUUGAAAGAACCUGAAUCAUUUUUUCUUUCUUUCUUUUCUUUUCUUUCUUUUUUUUUUUUUUUUUUUUGCUUUUUAGGGCCGAACUCAUGGCAUGUGGGAGUUCCCAGGUUAGGGGUUGAAUCAGAGCUACAACUGCCGGCCUACACCACAGCCACAGCCACGCCAGAUCCUUAACCCACUGAGCAAGGCAGGGGAUUGAACCCACAUCUUCAUGGAUCCUAGUCGGGUUCGUUACAGCUGAGCCAUGACAGGAACUCCUUGAAUCAUCAUUAUAAUGUGAAUACCAACUAUUUGUUUAUUCAGAAAGUGUACUGAAACUAUGUUGGCAUGAUAGGGGAGAGGAAGCUAUGGAUGUACUUACUUGCGGGAGAGUUAGGUCCUGGCCUACCAAAGGCGGUGGAGAAUGCCUAAAAAUGACCAACUAGAAAAUAGCAGUAGAAGCAGAGUAUUUUUUUUUUUUUUGGUCUUUUUUUGCUAUUUCUUUGGGCCGCUCCCACGGCAUAUGGAGGUUCCCAGGCUAGGGGUCGAAUCGGAGCUGUAGCCGCCAGCCUACGCCAGAGCCACAGCAACGCGGGAUCCGAGCCGCGUCUGCAACCUACACCACAGCUCACGGCAACGCCGGAUCGUUAACCCACUGAGCAAGGGCAGGGACCGAACCCGCAACCUCAUGGUUCCUAGUCGGAUUCGUUAACCACUGCGCCACGACGGGAACUCCAGAGUAUUCUUAAAUAUGGAGAUAAAUACCAGAGAAAACAGCUUGGGAGGAUUGCCACUGGCUGCCUCAAGUGGAUCCUGGUGUUGAGAAAGGGCAGGGAAGUGCUGAUUUUCAUUAACAACUUAGGUGUACAGACACACACACAACUAUACAUACAUUUAUUAAAAAUAAAUUAGAAAACAUGAUGAUGCCUUAAAAAGGACAUAUAUUAUUAAGUGCUGGUGAGAUGUGUAUAAUCUCAAACUCUGCUAGUGAAGUAUAAAUUGGCACACUGCCAUAUUUGGCCUUCUCUUUUUUUUUGUCUUUGGAGGGCUGCACCCACGGCAUCUGGAGGUUCCCAGGCUAGGGGUCCAAUCGGAGCUGUUGCUGCCGGCCUACGCCACAGCCUCAGCAACGCCAGCUUGGAGCUGCGUCGGUGACCCACACCACAGCUCACGGCAACGCCAGAUCCUUCACCCACUGAGUGAGGUCAGGGAUCGGGAAGCUGGGUCCUCAUGGAUGCCAGUCAGAUUCGUUUCCUCUGAGCCAUGACGGGAACUUCCACGCGUGGCCUUUAUCCUCAGAGAAACACUCGCACGUGUGCUCAGGGCAGCCCGACAGCGCUGUAAACAUCUAAUGAAAGGAGAACGGCAGCACCACACAGAACAGAAGGCAUAGAUAGCCCGGAAGCACGCAAAAAGAUGCUACCUCAUACUAUACAAAUGACAAUUUAAGGUACAAUCAAGGUGGGGGUUUUUUGCCUAUCAAUUUGGCAAAAUGUGGUAAUAUUUUGUUGAUGUGCUGGUAAAGCCAUGGCAACAAAGACGGUCUCAAAUAGUGUUGAUGGGAGGGCACAUGGGUUCAAUCUCUACAGAGAGCAAUAUCCCUCAAAAUGACAAAGGCACAUACUCUUUGACUCAGAAAUCCCAUUUCUAGUAAUUCAUCUAACUGAUAAGUAAAUCGACUAAUAUAUAUAUACACACACACAAAGAUAUUUGCUGUAAUACUGUCGAUAUAAGCAAAAGUUUGGAAACAACCGAUAGGGGACGGAUUAAAUUUCUGCUUAUUUAACACAACACUCUGCGUUGUGAAGCUAAGGAGCAGUGGGCUUGCGGGGCGGACAGGAUUGGGAGGAUUUGCCUUUAUUUCACUGUAUGGCAUUUCAUCCUGUGUUCUUAGGACAAAAUGCUGUACCAUGAAAUAAACCUGUUCUGCGCCUUGGUUUCCUCAUCUCUGAAAAGGAGAUGGGGAUUCCACCCCCCCAAGGUCACGGUGAGGCUUAUGUGAGCUGAUCCACAUAAGAUGCUUAGAUCAGAGCCUGGCGUAGAGCCAGCACUGUAUAAACUUACUGUCCAGGGUACCCCAUGUCAGGUGGGGGAGCGUGUGUUCAUCGGGCGUGGGAGAGGGGCUCUGGCCGUCACAGUUCAAGCUGCUUGGAAACAGGUUAUAUCAGAAAAGUCAAAUCAUGGAGUUCCCUGGUGGCUCAGUGGGUUGAGGAUCUGGUGGUGUCACUGCUAUGGCUCAGACUGCUGUUGGGAUGCAGGUUUA